UACGGAGGGGGCUAGCGUUGUUCGGAAUUACUGGGCGUAAAGCGCGCGUAGGCGGCUUUGUAAGUCAGAGGUGAAAGCCUGGAGCUCAACUCCAGAACUGCCUUUGAGACUACAUCGCUAGAAUCAUGGAGAGGUAAGUGGAAUUCCGAGUGUAGAGGUGAAAUUCGUAGAUAUUCGGAAGAACACCAGUGGCGAAGGCGACUUACUGGACAUGUAUUGACGCUGAGGAGCGAAAGCGUGGGGAGCAAACAGG
rnacentral:rRNA from 1 species